rnacentral:rRNA from 1 species
GACGAACGCUGGCGGCGUGCUUAACACAUGCAAGUCGAACGGAAAGGCACUGCUUUUGUGGGGUGCUCGAGUGGCGAACGGGUGAGUAACACGUGAGUAACCUGCCCUUGACUUUGGGAUAACUUCAGGAAACUGGGGCUAAUACCGGAUAGGAGCUCCUGCAGCAUGGUGGGGGUUGGAACGUUGCGGCGGUUGGGGAUGGACUCGCGGCUGAUCAGCUUGUUGGUGGGGUAGUGGCUUACCAAGGCUUUGACGGGUAGCCGGCCUGAUGGGGUGACCGGCCACAUUGGGACUGAGAUACGGCCCAGACUCCUACAUGAUGCAGCAGUGGGGAAUAUUGCACAAUGGGCGGAAGCGUGAUGCAGCAACGCCGCGUGCGGGAUAACGGCUUUCGUGUUGUAAACCGCGUUCGCCUGUGACGAAGCGUGAGUGACGGUAAUGGGUAAAGAAGCACCGGCUAACUACGUG